rnacentral:lncRNA from 1 species
CCACGUCAGCAGCCGCGUCAGCAGCCACGUCAGCAGUCCCGGCCAACCAGGGCCUGACACGUGGCAAGAUCGCGUCACUCCGAAAGGAGCCACGUUGGCGAUCCGCGUGGGUGCGAUCCGACGGCCCAGAUCAAUCACGCGAUCGGACGGCCCAGAUUCAAUCGCACGGACGGCCCAGAUUCAAUCAAAAACGAACGGCCCAGAUUAAAACAAAAUGAACGGCUGUGAUCAAAAGGCAAGGGGUUAUAAAUAGAACCCCCACACCAGACCACAAACCCUAGCCGCCAGCCGCUCGCCGGAGAAGACGAACCAGAGGCCGACCGCCGCCACCCGCCGCCGCUCGCCGCCGCACCGGGGAAAUUUCCGACCGCCGAUCGAGGUAAAUUUCAUACCCCCGACUCGUUUUUCCCCACUGAUUCCUCCUAUGGCCAAAUCGAAACCGAAAUCCCGGCCAAACGGCCGGAAUACGCGGCCGAAGCCCAGCGGCGCCGCCGCGCCCCCUCUCGGUUUUUGCCUCCGACGAGGCCCUUCCCGGCCUCCGUUCGAUGCAAUUUUUAUAUCACCGUGAUCACCAUUCUUUUCUCUACAGGUUGACCGGAGCCGAAUCACCAAAACACGAACCUCGCCGGAGAGCCGCUGCACCCGAGAGCGCCGCCACCGGUAAGCUCCGUUUUUCCGUGAUUUUUUGGCCCCCCGAGGGCCCUAGGGUUGUUUUCUGACAAGGACCAAUGCGAGUGUGGCCGAAUUCGGCCGAAAACGGCCGAAAACAGUCAACCCGAGGUGACUCGCCGCCGCCAGCGGCGGCGCCGUCGCCGGAGCACGGCGGAGCCGCCGUGCCGGAGUUGCGAUUUGGGCCGAAAGAGGCCCUGGGCCUAAUUUGGAUUUUUUUUGGAACACGUGCAGGUACGGUUAGUGUGUUUCAGUUUCCCGGGAAAAAUUCAGGGAAAAUUAGGGACGGCCUGCAGGCGCACUGUGAAUCGUAUUCAGAUCCCGAAAACAAGUAAGGACCCCUCACCCUAUUUCCUAUCACGGUAUUAAAGUUCAAAAUGAUAAAAUGGUAUUUCUUGAAUUAACGCAUGUGUGAAAUUGCUUAAGGUUGCUAAUGGAGCCCGAGUCUAGUGUGAUUGAUGAUUUACUGUUAUUUGGUCUGUUUUACACUGUUUUACAGCUUUAAAUGCAUUAUGGGGUUUGAUGUGUUCAUUUUACAGAUUUGUGUGCAUAUACUACGUUUUUAUUAAUUAUGGGUUGAAUGACUGAAAAACUGAUAUUGUAUGUUGUCUGUUGGUAUGAAUUACGAUUUGCUUGUUUAAAUGUGAAUUGAUGAUGUUGAUUGAGGAAAAGGAAAAUGAAAGAUUGUAUAGACUGAUAAUUGUAUUAUGGGGGUCAGCCUGACUAGAUAUCCUGGGAGAUGGUGGACGGACCGGGUCCGUAGGGAACCCUACCGGGAUUGUGGUCUCACAUGCCGGACGGGGUAUGGAGAUCUUAUGGUUUUGGCGCCCAUACCGGACGGGGUAUGGGGACGGCCCGUUUCACCCUCAUACCGGACGGGGUAUUGAGGUUUAUGGUUUUGGCGCCCAUACCGGACGGGGUAUGAGGACGGCCCGUUUCACCCUCAUACCGGACGGGGUAUUGAGGUUCAUGGUUUUGGCGCCCAUACCGGACGGGGUAUGGGGACGGCCCUGGAAACUGAUUAUGAAUGUUAAAGGUUAACGGGUAGCGGAACCCCUAUGGACCCCCACGGAUACUAGUAGGCUGGUAAAUGAGAAAAAGGGAUAUGUUGUACAAUGAUUGAAUUACAAGAGGCGUGAUAAGUGUUAUGUUUUACAGCUUAGAUUAUUAAAUGAUUAUGAUGAUGUUAUUGUUUUUCUCAUAUUGUUUUCAUAAAUUCCACCAAGGUAAGUGGAUGGUAAAGGUUUUCAUGUUAAUAAACGAGUUUAUUGUAAAUUGUGCUCCAUUGGUCUUUUUGUGGUUUUCUACCCACCUUUAUUUCCGUGACGGUGAGAUAUCGUGAUGUUCUUACUGGGCUAGUGUAGCUCACUCCUUAAUUAACCAUUUCAGAUCAGGAAGACAUGGUUCCCGAGCCCGUUCCGCAGGAGGACGACGAAGGGGAUGCCUAGAGACUCUGUAGACAUACGCAUAGUCUUAUUUUCGAGUUCCUCUCUUAGUUAGUUUAACCUUUUAUAUUUUAAGUACGUUUGUUUGGUUUUUCGUGUAAGGGAUGUUAAUUGAAAUUUUGAUCUCGCUUCCGCAUUUGAUAUAUUUAAAUACUCAUUUCAUUUUAAUAUUUCCGGGGUCGUUACAAGUGCCAUUUGGAGUAAUAAAUAUAAUAUUUUUUUGAUGAGUGCUAUUGAG